rnacentral:rRNA from 1 species
GAUGAACGCUGGCGGCGUGCUUAACACAUGCAAGUCGAGCGAGUGAGUUCUUCGGAACGAUCUAGCGGCGGACGGGUGAGUAACACGUGGGCAACCUGCCUCAUAGAGGGGAAUAGCCUCCCGAAAGGGAGAUUAAUACCGCAUAACAUCGUUGAAGGGCAUCCUUCGAUGAUCAAAGGAGCAAUCCGCUAUGAGAUGGGCCCGGGGCGCAUUAGCUAGUUGGUGCGGUAACGGAUCACCAAGGCGACGAGGCGUAGCUGACCUGAGAUGGGGCGGGGCCACAUUGGGACUGCGGCACGGACUACGCUCCUACGGGAGGCAGCAGUAGGGAAUAUUGCGCAAUGGGGGAAACCCUGAAGCGGCAGCGCCGCGUGAGUGAUGACGGCCUUCGGGUUGUAAAGCUCUGUCUUUGGGGACGAUAAUGACGGUACCCAAGGAGGAAGUCACGGCUAACUACGUGCCAGCCGCCGCAGUAACAC